GACGAACGCUGGCGGCGUGCUUAACACAUGCAAGUCGAGCGAGGCUCCUCCUUCGGGAGGAUGCCCUAGCGGCGAACGGGUGAGUAACACGUGGGCAACCUGCCCCUAGCACUGGGAUAACCCCGGGAAACCCGGGAGCUAAUACCGGAUAUGACCACGGACGGCAUCAUCUCGUGGUGGAAAGAUUUAUCGGCUAGGAGUGGGCCCGCGGCCUAUCAGCUUGUUGGUGGGGUAA
rnacentral:rRNA from 1 species